CUUGCCGGCCCUGCGCGCCGCGCGGUCGCGGGCUCCCGGCCCGGCCGGCCGUAUUUAUAGGUGCGCGCGCCCCGCGCUCGCGCUCCGAAGCGCUCUUUGCAAUAACACAGUAUCACGUGUGGGGAAUGAGACCUGGGAGGAAAACAAAGCCGCAGGCGGAGUCCGCAGCGGCGGGAGGCGACCGUGCUGGAGGAGGUGAAAGAGGAGGAGGAAGGCAGAGCCCGGCGCGUGGCAGGGCGGGGGCUCGCCCGACCGCUCCCCACGGUCCCAGCUGUUCCUGGGGCGCGCGGAAGCCAGGUGCUGGAGGCGAGCACGUCACUCCGGUACGCUCGGGCGGAGAAUCGCGGGUGUCCACAGAGCCCGGUGAGCUACAGCCCCUGGGUUACAGCCCCAGAAGAGUUACGGGGCGAUCACCUGGAGCCUUUGCACCGCGACCUAGUAACCGAAUCUGGCGUUACCCAUGGGCCUGGACACGCCGGUCCUUGUUAACAGUUACGUGGGAGGGUACACCUUCCUACGUGGACAUUCCCACCGAAGGUGUCGCUGACCACUGGGAUGUGCCCUCACUCUUUCGCAGACCCAGGGGGAGGCUGCCAAGAUUAAGGAUAAAGGCACCUAGCUGCCUAGGUGUGUGAGCACCUUCUGUGUGAUCCAGCUGAUUUAUACACACACCCCUGGUGCUCUUAGCAAAAGACAGCCAGGAUUUUCAUUUGGUCCCUGAAAAUGUAUUGCAUUUUCUGUGAAGAUCUGGGCGGGCUAAAAUAAUCUUGCACGCAUGUACCUGUCGUCACCUUGCAAAUGUCGCGAGUGUAGUCUCUUUACUCCUCUAUAAACGGGGACAGAUAUGGACAGUUAUUCCCAUUUAUUUCAUAAACAUCUGUUUGGCUCCUGGUUGUAUGUUCCAGAAAUAUGGGUUCCUGCCUAUGGACACAGCGACUCUAGCCCCACCCCCAACAAGUGGUUUUAGAACUUGCAACCGCGGGACUACCCGGCUGCUUCCCAGUUCUCUGUGCCAUUUGGGUGACUUAUUAAACACAGUAUGGAACAACUGUCGCCCUGAAUUAGGCCCCGUGACACCUAAGAAGCCUUGCUACACUUCUCUGCGGGAGAAGCAAAGUGUUUAAGAUGAACGGAUUAAUUUAAUUAGAGGUUUAAAUUUAGCCUUGGAGCUAAUGGGUAACUCUACAUUGAAAUUCCACUCCAUUUCAGCAGAGUAAAUUAAGUAGCGGAGAGCAAGCGUACUCGGCUCAGGGAUGUGCUGCCAACCCCGACUCCUCCAGAGAUAGAAUUGACAUCAGUGCUGAGAACACUACCUCACAUGAACACACAGCACCAAACAAUGGACGUGAGCGCUGAGGAGACAGUGCGUCUGUUAAGAGCACUCGUUGCUCUUGCAAGGACCCAGGUUUGGUUCCCAGCAACCAGCUGGUGGCUUUCAAUCAUCCUUCAUGCCAAUUCCAGGAAAUCCAGUGCCUUCUUCUGACCUCUAUGGGCACCGUCUGAGCUGUUUCAGGCAGUCAUCUACUGAUCACUACUGUGUUGCUGGUGAGACCACGUGCAUGGUGACAAAUGCAUAUGUUCUGUGUUCAGAAGCAAGGCCUCAGUGAAGUCACGGGGCAACAUAACUGAGCACUAACUCUGCUAGAAAUACUAGAAUCUGUUAUGUGUUUGAUUUUUUAAAUUGUUGGUUAUUGAUCAUUCAGAAACCUUUUUGCAAUCUCCAUAUUCAGUUACUCGAGCCAUUAGGAUUUCAACCUGCAGUUAAGAAGCAAAGGUCUAGGACAGUCAGUAACUAUCUCUCCACUUCCUUCCAUGAUUUGACCUCCAAGUCUCUACUUCCUGCCUAAAGAACUCAUCAUCUCCUCAUCAACGGCACCAGCUACCUCCAACACCGUUCAAGGCUCAAACAACAUGGGACCACUGUUUUCUUUAGACACCUGAUGCCUGUGGGGACAAGAAGACAUUGUUGUGGGAGAAUCUUUUUGUACACUGUGAAGAUGUGUCUUUGCCAAGGCACCUCUGACUGGUUUAAUAAAAGAGCUGAACAGCCAAUAGCUAGGCAGGAGGGAUAGGCAGGACUUCUGGGGAAAGAGAGGAACUCUGGGAAGAAGAGAGAUGGAAGUGCCAGUGAGACUCGGAGGGAGUUGGAUGUACGGUAUGGAGGCACAUUGCAGAACAUAGAUUAAUAUAAAUGGGUUAAUUUAAGUUAUAAGAGCUGCGUGGGAACAAGCAAAAGCUAAGGCCAUGCUUUCAUACUUAAUAAGAUGUCUCUGUGUCAUUAUUCGGGAGCUGGCGGUUCAAAGAAAGCCCAACUACACAGUAUUUCACUGCAUUCCCUGUCAAGGACUGUGCAAAGGCACUGGGUCUAUCCACUUGAGGAAUGGACAGCUCCAUAACUGAGCAUGGCUGAUUUGUUAAGAGUCAUACUUUAUGUUAGGAAUGGCUGUCAGUGCCUCAUCCACCUGGGAGCAGUUCUGGGCAACCCUUCCUCUCCUCAGUCUUGUUAAAGGACAGUGACGGUGCAGGAGCAUUUAGUCUUCAGUUUCCCUCAGAUUCUUUCCUGGGUGGAGCUCAGCCAGUUGCGGAAGGAAGAGGGACACACAAGACCACCCCUGCUUCAGCCAGCAAUUGGCUGCCCUUCCUGGGUCCCUUAGCUCAGGGCCCCAUGAGCAUCUCCUCAAGUAUAAUAAUUGACUGUGAUGCUCACAGAAAUCAGGGAAAUGCGCAUGUCUACCAGCUUAUUAAAUAGGAUGUUGCCGAGGACCUCCCUGAACAGCCGAGUGAAGAGGUACGCAGGUGACAGGCGGGGCCUUCAUGGAAGCAGAGCAUGCCAUCCUAGCAUGGCGGAGAUGUGUCACACAGUCGUGCUGGAUUAACUCUGGCCCCUCUCCCCAGAGGGAAGGGAUGAGGCUGAAAGCUCCAAGCUUCUACUCAUUUUGGUGACCAGCCCCCGUCCAGAAGUUGUCCAGGAGCCAAGGAUCACCUCAAUGCCACAAAGUGUUCUACCACCCAGGCCAUUUUAUAGAAUGUAGGAGCUCUGAGUCAAGAGUAGGCUAGACCAGUAUUAGAACAAAGUAUGCUUCUAGGCUCCUAUCAAUCAGAGGCUUAUGGGGGAUGGGGAUCUCUGUGCUGGGAACAAGGACCAGAGACCAAAUGUGUGUUUCUUAGUGUACCACGCUGCCUCAGGCAUUGACUGCCGUGGAAGAAACCUGGCAGAAAAACUGAGGAGAACUGAUUCAGAUGCUUUUGUGAGGAGGUCCCGACAGAGUAUUGUUCAUUCCUAGACUCCCUGUGUGGUCAAGAUGCAGAAUUUAAAUGAUAUUUUGAUUGGCAUAAGAAAAUCCACAAGUUUUCUUUCUUCUAUUACCUUUGCACUUAAAAUAUAACAAAGGAAACCAGUUUUGUUUUCUUUGAAGUUAUACUGGGACACAGGAAGAGCCAGCUUAUAGACAAUAAGAAGCCCCUUUUGCUGGAAUUACAACUUGUAAACACAAGACUUCUGGAUGGCCUCUGUGUAUACAUGGGCCUCUGGACACAGACACAUGCACAUAUCACAAGCACACGCACACACGCAUGCACGCACACCCACAUAUACCCCAGCACAAAGUAGGCCAGGCAUGAGUCAAGGCUGCCUCCAGGCCUCCUGUUCUCCAGCACAGCCAAUCCUUCUGUUUUUGCAUUUCCUUGGAUUAUUUACACAUCCAAGUGGAAUCGAGGUGGCCAAGUUCUGUGGGAAGUGUUGCCAGUGUGCCUGCUGCUGGGAUGCUCAGCUAGAUGAUGCUUAUCCAUGAUGAUGAUGGUCCAUGGGAGUCCUUUACUGUUGGAUGCACAACUUCCCUGGAGAGGCAACUCACAAAGGUGAGAAGCAGAUGGCUGGCAAUCAUCAUUUGAAGGAAAGAGGCAGAACAGUAGAGAUUCCUAUUACUGGGGAAGUGUAGAUCAGAGCAACCUCUCUGAGGAGCCAUUUGACAAUUGUGUCAAGAGCCUUAAACUGUUGUGAAUGACUGUUGAACGGGUGGUGCGUGCUUGGAACCUCAGCCUGGAGGCUUCCACAGGAGGAUUAUUAGUUCAAGGUCAGUCUGGCUCCAUGGUAAGAGCCUGAUUCAAAACGAAAGGAAACAAAAGAGAAGAAAUGUUCAAGACUGAGCACAUGGGUCUUUGUGGGAAGGAGGUUAAUUUCCACUCUUGCUAUGGCAUGAAUAUGACUUGACCUCGCUGGAACUCAUGUUGGAGUUUAAUUCUCAUUGUGUGGAAUUGAGAGGGUAGAACUUAACCCAGCUCUAGUGUUUAAAGAUGGAGGCUUAGGGCAGGAAAGUUGUCUCAACAGUUAAAGCACUGGCUACUCUUUCAGAGGAUCUAGCUUCGAUUCUCAGCCCCCACACAGAGGCUCACAACUGACGAUACCUCCAGUUCCUGGGGAUCUGACAUUCUCUGGCCUUUGUAGGCAAAUGGUACACAGACAUUCAUGUAGGCAAAACACCCAAGCACAUAAAUGAAUAAAAAUGUGAAAUAUGUUUUUAAAUGAUGGGAUCUUUGAGAGAUGAUUAGGGUUAAAUAAGGCCAUCAGUGUGAGACCCCGAGAGUGGCAGGAAGAGGCUUGUGCCUGCUCCUUGUCCCCUGAGGUGUGUUUCCCUGCUUCAAAACUGCCAACAAGAAGACCAUCAGCAGAUGCGGCCCCUUGACCUUGGUGCACAGCCAGGAGCCAAAACAAACAUCCCUGUGACUCACCCAGCCUGAGGUAUUAUGCUAUUAGCAAGAGAAAACAGACAAGGAGAGCACACACUCCUGUGUCCAGAGCAUUUCUCUGCCCGUUUGUGCUUUGAUUUUGUCAUCUGUGGGGUGGAAAUGAUACACUCUCUUUCAAAACACUGCUGCGAAGGUUCAGGGCGUCAACAAAGAAAGCUUGGAUGCCCUGAGUAUUGGGGAGAGAUGUAGCCACUGCCAUAGUUCCCAAAUGUGUAGAGAAAGACGGUCAAAGAUUUAUGCACACAAAUAUCCGUGCUAGCACUGUUUAAGGAAAUAAACUUGAAAACAAAAUGACCAUGUGUGAAAUACCGAGAAGACAAUGGAAGGUGGCAUUGUGUUUCAUGAAAAAGUCUGCACUCAUCUUUCCCAUUUGAAAUGAAUGAGAUUGUUGAACAAUAAGAGGUGUCUAAGGAUAGAGAACCAGGAGGUCAAAACACUAACUAGUAGGGAUACAGCAACUUUCACUUGUCUCUUUUUGCUUAUAUAAAUAGAAAUAAGUGCAUGGUCAUAUGAUAUUUUAAACAAGAAGUGACAUGCUUGUUGAAAACCUAAUUGGAAGAGCAUCAAUUUGACCACACGCAGAAGGGAUUAAAGAGAAACUUGGAGGAACAAGGAGGGUAUGUAUUCAUUCUUAAUUCAAUGCCUGCUCUGUAUCCACACUGCUGCACAAAGGUCCCAGGCUCUGAAGAGUUAGGCAAGCAGAGGGAGCAAGGGCAGGCUAGCUCUGUUUCCAUACACACAGUUUCUUUGCAUCAGCCACAGCCUGCUCUUUACCGUCUAUAAGAUGAAGCCAGGGCUCUACAAAGCUAAGGGUGGUAAUGCACCUCAGGUCACACAGUUGACAACUGGAAAGGCAGCCUGUGUAGUCUUAGCAGAGCUUUGUGUCAGGGACUAUGGGCUGUGACUCCUAGGAGCCAAAAAGGCCCCAUAGGGAGAGUCCUAUCUGAACUUAGACCCGGUUUACCUGUGAGACAAGGGCGAAAACAUAAUGUCUACCGCGACUGCUCAGGCUCAAGGCAGUAAAACUUGGACUUGGCAGUGAGAAUGGAAAAGAAGGGUCAAGGUUCAGAGGCAUCAUGAGGAAAAACUGGCUUCAGGCUCUGCAACCUGGGGAGCAGCAGUAACUCCCCAAAGGACUAAGGGUUCCGGGAAAGAGGGACAGAUUUCAAGGUGAAACAUUGGCUCAUUUGUCACGAGUUAAUUUUCUACCUUCACAGAAGGGACGGUAAGGAGGCUAAGCCAAACUUGCUGUGGUAGGUAAGCCACAGUUGUACCCAUCCUUGUCCUCUUGAAGGAGAAGUAGGCUUUGAGUUUUACCGGCAUGAUUCUCCAGCGUCGUCACAUCUUCUCAAACCAUGGGCAGCUGAGGACAUUGGCUUCUGGGGACUCCUACCCUCGACAGACCUCACAUAGCGUCGUUUCUUAUCUGAGGUUGCUCUUUCCACCUCCAUGACUACUGAUCAACCAUAAUCCAAAAUAUUAAAAUUUGUCUCAUCUCUUUCAAGAUAGAGCAGUUAUGUUCACAUACCUCUUGUUAUCUAACACUGCUGCCACUGUUCAAUUUUAUUAUUAGUUUUUAUCUCUUACUGUACUGAACUUAUAAACUAACAUUGUCAUAGGGUUGUGUGUAUAAAAAAAAUACCUGGUUUAAUAUCA